rnacentral:rRNA from 1 species
GCGUGCAUGAUGAAGGCCUUCGGGUUGUAAGUGUUUUUGUAUGGACGAAAACCUUUCUGCUAAUGAAAGGCUCACUUGACGGUACCCAAAGAGGAAGCACCGGCUAACUCCGUGCCCCCCGCCGCUAUAAUA